rnacentral:lncRNA from 1 species
GUCGGCCUUGGCCCCCAGAGCGGGGGUGGAAAGGCGCCGGCUGCCUCGCACCGGGGGUGCGGGCGGCUGCAGCUGGUGACGCCCGCCUAGUGGAGGGCGAGGGGUGAGGUUUGCAGAAGCAAAGCGGGGAGCCCUUCUGCCCUUAAGUUAAAAUGGCCAGCAGUUGGACUUCUGUGUCACACAUUGUGCCUCACAAAUCCUGAGUUGCUUAUUACAUUGUCACUUAAACAUCUUAGGCCAAAAUUUCAUAAUGUUGUCACGAUUUCCUCAGUAGUCCGCAUAGGCCAAUCUGAAGACAUGUCUGUUCUAUGAGGGUUCUUGUUAAGCAAAGAAAAAAAAAAAUUGAAAUACAGUUUCUAUUCCACACACAAAAAAUUUUGUUUCUCGAAUUAUCCAUGAAGUUCCUGCAGCAAACUUCUUAAAAGAUUUUUGAAAGGAACAUGGGGUCGGCUUUCAAAUUACCCCUAGUAGUUAUGGACAGCAUAGAAUAGUAAAAACUGCCAGCAGUCUCCAAAUCCUACUUUGUGAUGGGCUUGUGCUUUGGAGGCUGUUAGCUAGGGUUUCUCUUACAAAUUGAGAGACUGAUCAGAAUACCUAAGCCUCAGUUUCAACAUCUAUACAGUGGGUAUAUUUUUUUCUGCGCAGCUAUAAAUGAUAAGAAAUAAGCAAUGUAAAGUGCUCAGUUCAGAUUCUUUCAUGUAAUCAAAAUUGAGUAAGUUAUGGUUCUCUUUUCUUUGACCUCCAGUUAGAUUCUUGCAGUGAAUUUAAUUUCCCAUAAAAUCUAGAGACAGGGCAAUUAUGUUUCGGUUACUAUUAAGAACCAAAAUAUCAUCCUUGAGGAUGGCCAUGCUUUAAUCAACAGGGCUGUUCAACCAAUUGGAUAGAACGGAAAUAACAAAAGAAUUUGAACAGGUCUUUCAAGUUUAUUGUACUGAGAUUGAACUGCUUCUAUGGCUAAGCAUGCCUGACUGACCUGAGGUUCACCUUUCUCUUCCCUAGUAAUUCUCAGGAGAAAGAAUUAAGGAGGAAUCAAGUGGCCAACAGGCUGCAAAGUAGAGGGUAGAAGAUAAACAGUGAACAUACAGGUCUUUCAUCCAAAAAAUUUAUGUGCAGAGCUCUAUAUGAGGUAGUGGUAGUUGUAAGAAAGGAAAAACCAAAAUAAAGGCACUCUUCUGCUCCAAAUACCUGAGAACUUAUUAUCCUGUUUUGAUAUAAGCAUUGUUCUUACAUUAAAAAAGGAACAUAAUAGGUGCUGAAAAUGUGUUGAAAUGAACAAUGGCUUAUACAAUUGUUUAUUAAGGGCUUUUUACAUAUAUGGUUUCCUAUCUCUUGAUUUAGUGCUUUCUGUUGGAUGUGUCUGCACUAGGAAGUCCCUUCUUUUAUAACAGAGCACAUCUACAAAACAUUUAAUCCGAAUCAUUUCACUGGAUGUUCA